GCAGCCUGUCUGAAGUGCAGAGGUUCAGGCGGCCAAGGGACCCGCGCCGGUUUCCGCGGGCGACCUGCAAACCCUGCCCGGGGCCCGGCAGGCGCUGCGUCCCGGCGCGUUGGCAGUUGGCGACCCCCCUCGAAUCCCCCCUCUGCUGCGGGCUCCCCGUGGCCUUUGGAGGCUCGGUCUGCUUAGUGGCCUAUCUUGGCUUGUUUAUGCUUUGUGUCUCAUAUCAGGUUGACGAACGGACAUGUAUUCAGUUUUCUAUGAAAAUCCAUUGUCAUGACUUCUGAGCUGUUUGAAAGAGAAUGUUCUCAGAAUCAAGCCAUUUGGAAUGGACAGAAUGAAACAGAAGUCAAAGAGCUGUCUACACGUCCUUCCCAAGCUAUAAUUAAGAUGGAAGCUCAUUUGCCAUUCUGAGGAUUGGUGCAAUCAAGCAUAUGACAGCAAGAUCUUGGAACAUUUUUAUCAGUUUUGGAACCACAGCUCCUCCAUGGCCAAAUUUCUCUUUAUGUCUCAGGUUUCAGAGCAUGGCCUAACAUUUCCCGUACAGACAGGCCGCUCCCCUGCCCUCCUGAUUC
rnacentral:sRNA from 1 species